ACGCUCGACACCUACGGAGGCAGCAGUAGGGAAUCUUCCACAAUGGGCGCAAGCCUGAUGGAGCAACACCGCGUGAGUGAAGAAGGGUUUCGGCUCGUAAAGCUCUGUUGUUGGAGAAGAACGUGCGUGAGAGUAACUGUUCACGCAGUGACGGUAUCCAACCAGAAAGUCACGGCUAACUACGUGCCUGCAGCCGCGGUAAUCUGAGCGGGCUGGCAAGGC
rnacentral:rRNA from 1 species